rnacentral:rRNA from 1 species
GACGAACGCUGGCGGCGUGCUUAACACAUGCAAGUCGAACGGUAAGGCCCUUCGGGGUACACGAGUGGCGAACGGGUGAGUAACACGUGGGUGAUCUGCCCUGCACUUCGGGAUAAGCCUGGGAAACUGGGUCUAAUAUCGGAUAGGACCCUGGGAUGCAUGUCCUGGGGUGGAAAGCUUUUGCGGUGUGGGAUGGGCCCGCGGCCUAUCAGCUUGUGGGUGGGGUGAUGGCCUACCAAGGCGACGACGGGUAGCCGGCCUGAGAGGGUGACCGGCCACACUGGGACUGAGAUACGGCCCAGACUCCUACGGGAGGCAGCAGUGGGGAAUAUUGCACAAUGGGCGCAAGCCUGAUGCAGCGACGCCGCGUGAGGGAUGACGGCCUUCGGGUUGUAAACCUCUUUCAGCACCGACGAAGCGCAAGUGACGGUAGGUGCAGAAGAAGGACCGGCCAACUACGUGCCAGCAGCCGCCGUAA